CCUACGGGAGGCAGCAGUAAGGAAUAUUGGUCAAUGGACGAAAGUCUGAACCAGCCAUGCCGCGUGAAGGAUGAAGGCCCUCUGGGUUGUAAACUUCUUUUAUCUGGGACGAAAAAAGCUCAUUCUUGAGCACUUGACGGUACCAGAGGAAUAAGCACCGGCUAACUCCGUGCCAGCAGCCGCGGUAAUACGGAGGGUGCAAGCGUUAUCCGGAUUCACUGGGUUUAAAGGGUGCGUAGGUGGGUCUGUAAGUCAGUGGUGAAAUCUCCGAGCUUAACUCGGAAACUGCCAUUGAUACUAUAGGUCUUGAAUCAUCUGGAGGUAAGCGGAAUAUGUCAUGUAGCGGUGAAAUGCUUAGAUAUGACAUAGAACACCAAUUGCGAAGGCAGCUUACUACGGGUGUAUUGACACUGAGGCACGAAAGCGUGGGGAUCAAACAGGAUUAGAUACCCUGGUAGUCCACGCCCUAAACGAUGGAUACUGACNNAGNGAUACACUGUUGUGUNUG
rnacentral:rRNA from 1 species